rnacentral:rRNA from 1 species
UUAGGAAUCUUGGACAAUGGGCGCAAGCCUGAUCCAGCCAUGCCGCGUGAGUGAUGAAGGCCUUAGGGUUGUAAAGCUCUUUCAGCGGGGAAGGCCUAGGGAUAACACCUCUGGGUCUUGACCUAACCCACAGAAAAAGCACCGGCUAACUCU